UGGGGAAUAUUGCACAAUGGGCGCAAGCCUGAUGCAGCGACGCCGCGUGGAGGAUGAAGGUUUUCGGAUUGUAAACUCCUGUUGAGUGGGAAGAAAUGGCAUUCACUAAUACUGAAUGUAGAUGACGGUACCACUAGAGAAAGCACCGGCAAACUUCGUGCCAGCAGCCGCGGUAAUACGAAGGGUGCAAGCGUUAUUCGGAGUUACUGGGCGUAAAGAGCGCGUAGGCGGCUUCUUAAGUCAUUUGUUAAAUUUCUCGGCUUAACCGGGAAUCAGCAGGUGAAACUGGGAGGCUAGAGUGUAAGAGAGAGAAGUAGAAUUCUCGGAGUAGCGGUAAAAUGCGUAGAUCUCGAGAGGAAUACCGGAAGCGAAGGCGGCUUCUUGGCUUACAACUGACGCUCAAGUGCGAAAGCGUGGGGAGCAAACAG
rnacentral:rRNA from 1 species